rnacentral:lncRNA from 1 species
CUAAUCUUAUUAAUACCAUUAUCUAGAUGUAGACUACCAUCCACUGGAACCUCCACUUCCUUAACUUCAGAACUACCCUUACUUCCCUCCACAUCUCCAACAACAGCCGCUCCCAACUCUGGCAAAGCAACAUGAACAGCCUCCAUAAUUGAAUUCCAUCCACCAGUUAAUCUCACACCAUCAGUUUCAACUAAUUUGUCACUAUCUAGUCCAGAAGGACCGGUGUCCACCUUUUCAUUUCCAGCACUCAAAACCUCUGUCUCUUCAAUCAUCUUGCCCUCAUAAUCCUCCACUCCUUUCACUUCAGAACUACCCUUACUUCCCUCCAUAUCUCCAACAACAGCCACACCCAACUCUGGCAAAGCAACAUGAACAGCCUCCAGAAAUGAAUUCCACUCACCGGUUAAUCUCACACCAUCAGUUUCAACCAAUUUAUCAUUAUUUAGUUCAGAAGCAAAGGUGUCCACCUUUUCAUUUCCACCACUCAAAACCUCUGUCUCUUCGUUCAUCUUGCCGCCACAACCCUCAUUUUUCUUCCCUACAUCAAUUUCUGCAUCCAACUGACUCUUUUCCACGCCCAGCUUGUUAGGGUCCCCCUCACCCAAAUUCUCAUCCACCGCAACCCCCUCUCCUUGAAUACCCCCAACCUCAAUUCCAUUUUUCUCCUCUAAACCCUUAUCCCCAUUCCCAACUAAUUCACCCUUCUCAAAGGUCCCCAUUUUCGACUCUCCUACAACAUAUUUAUCAUCAUCAUCAUUUUUGGCCGAUACUUUCAACAACGGCUCUUCCCUUUUCAGUGCCGGAAAUU